rnacentral:rRNA from 1 species
UGGGGAAUUUUGGACAAUGGGCGCAAGCCUGAUCCAGCAAUGCCGCGUGCAGGAUGAAGGCCUUCGGGUUGUAAACUGCUUUUGUACGGAACGAAACGGUCUGCCCUAAUACGGUGGGCUAAUGACGGUACCGUAAGAAUAAGCACCGGCUAACUACGUGCCAGCAGCCGCGGUAAUACGUAGGGUGCGAGCGUUAAUCGGAAUUACUGGGCGUAAAGCGUGCGCAGGCGGUUAUAUAAGACAGAUGUGAAAUCCCCGGGCUCAACCUGGGACCUGCAUUUGUGACUGUAUAGCUAGAGUACGGUAGAGGGGGAUGGAAUUCCGCGUGUAGCAGUGAAAUGCGUAGAUAUGCGGAGGAACACCGAUGGCGAAGGCAAUCCCCUGGACCUGUACUGACGCUCAUGCACGAAAGCGUGGGGAGCAAACAGGAUUAGAUACCCAAGUAGUCCCUGAGCGGGCUGGCAAGGCGCAU